GCUGGGUACCGUGGCGUGCACCUGUAAUCCCAACAGCUCAGGAGGCUGAGGCAGGAGGAUUGCAAGUUCAAAGCCAGUCUCAGCAAAGGCGAGGUGCAUAGCAACUCAGUGAGACCCUGGCUCUA
rnacentral:sRNA from 1 species